GAAGGGCUGGUCUCUGGGCUAAAUUGAAACAAGACAAAUUUCAACCAGAAGACUUUCUAUCAUGCUCUGUCCUGGCCUGCUGUGGGCACUCAUGGUCUCCUUUAGCUUCAGAUUCAGCAUGACUAAGAGAGUAACCCAAGUUCAGACUAUAGUGACACGGCAGAAAGGAGAUGCUGUGACAAUGGACUGCACCUAUGAAUCCAAAUGGAGUAAUUAUGAUUUAUACUGGUACAAACAGCCUCCUAAUGGAAAGAUGGUUUUCCUUAUUUAUCAGCACUCUUCUAGUCCAAAUGCAAAGCAGGAUCGGUACUCUGUGAACUUGCAAACGGCAGAAACAAUCAUCAGCCUCACCAUCUCUUCCUUGCAACUGGUAGACUCAGCGAAGUACUUCUGUGCUCUUCACAACCACAGAAAUAAAAAUGAUAGUGGAAGAUUAACAAAAAUCUUCAGCUCCAUAAAGGCAGCCACCUGCUCAGAGGCUUCGGGAAAACCCAUAAACCACAGACAGGAAGGAGGCAGGCACUGUGUGUGA